rnacentral:sRNA from 1 species
AUUUAAUCCCACUUUUGU